UACGUAGGGGGCGAGCGUUGUCCGGAAUCAUUGGGCGUAAAGCGCGUGUAGGCGGCCCGGUAAGUCCGCUGUGAAAGUCCAGGGCUCAACCCUGGGAUGCCGGUGGAUACUGUCGGGCUCGAGUCCGGAAGAGGAGAGUGGAAUUCCUGGUGUAGCGGUGAAAUGCGCAGAUAUCAGGAAGAACACCCGUGGCGAAGGCGGCUCUCUGGGACGGUACUGACGCUGAGACGCGAAAGCGUGGGGAGCGAACAGG
rnacentral:rRNA from 1 species